UGGGCCUGAGAGAACCAACUGCAUCACCAUCCGCCUGACCUUCUCCAACCUGUCCAAUUACUUCCUCUCGUCCACCUACCUUCCUACCUUCGUCGUGGUGGUGAUUGGCUACAUGACCUUCUUCUUCCCCGUGAACGACUUCAGCGAUCGGUUCAUCGUCAGUCUCACGGGCCUUCUUGUCGAGGCGGCCUUCUUCAUGCAGACAAAUUCUUCCAUCCCGCAGACCGCAUACAUCAAAAUGAUUGACAUCUGGUUCAUGUUCUGCAUCGUGUAUUUCUUCCUCCUGAUGACUGCUCUACUUCUCAUCAAUAAAUGCCUGGAAAGGGCCAGGAAAGAAGAUAAGAGUCUGGAGGAGGUGACCUUGGAACCACGAGCCAUGACAUCGAGGGUUUGUUGUCAUUUCGCCAAGGGCAUCAUCAGCCUUCCAAUGCCCAAACGACCUGACAAAUGGAACGCAGCCGCUGUUAGACUGAAUCGCAUCUGUAGGGCAUUUUUUCCUCUCUUGACUCUUGUAUUUCUUAUUAGCUAUUUCAGUUACGCCCGCAUUCACAGCCAGGUAAAACCUUUGGUUCUCGAGUAAAGAUAGAAGUCGUACUUUAUAAUCGGUCUAAAGCUAUUGGGUGCCUACUUUGGCUUGUUAUCUACGCGUUGCCUACUCCGGGGUACUAGUAUGUACUAUAAAUAUGGCGGAAGCUCCUUGAGACGUUGUACUUAGUACUAGCCUCUUGGGGGAUCAAUGCUAGUACUAAACAUGGCGGAAGCUCAUUAAGACGUUGUGUUUAGAACUAGCCUCUUGGAGAUCAAUGCUAAUACUAAACAUAUCGGAGACUCGUUGGGACGUCGUGUUUAGUACUAGCCUCUUGGGCAUCAAAGUAUUAUAUGCACACAUCUCUGUAUCGUGUAGUCGACAAAAUAGCUGAAAACUCACUAGUUAUAUACUGGUCACUAAACCAACAUUUGCCAUAGUGGAAAUGGUGCAUGUUCACUCAUUAUUACUCAUUACGGAGCAAAAGAAGACUUUACGUAGGAGAAAAAAAGUUUGAAUUAUAAUUGCUGUUGAAUUAAAAUGGCAACAAUAUAGUAUAUGGUUGCUGUUGAGGGACAAGCAUCACUUUACUAUUAGUUAAGCGGAAACUAACAAGAUAACUCUCUUCGGAUCUACAAUCAAAAGUCACCGAAAAUAGAUCUAUCUUUCGAUG